ensembl:lncRNA
AUGUUGUGUUUCAGGCUGUGUCUUAUUCAUCCACUCAUCUCUCUCCUCUUCUAUUCUCCUUCCACUCCCUUAAUAGCCCAUUUUUUUUGUUUCAUCCUUCCCUCCACCUCUACAAUGUCCACCUCCUUCCUUUCUUCCCAGUCAAGAGUGCCAACAUGUGGAGAGACUCAGUGCAAUGGCCGUGGCACCUGUGUGGUUCCUCCAGAUGGAGGUGCUGAUCUGGUGUGUAACUGUAAACUGGGCUACAAAGGCGAUUUCUGCGAGAGCACAGUCAACGGGGCCUUGAGUGUUCCACUGACCCUGAGUGUGCUGGGUAUCCUCAUCGGUAUAAUGGUCCUGGCUUUUGCCAUUGCUAGGUUUCGGCGGAAUCGAAAGAAAAAGCGAAGGAGACAUUUGACAGCAAAUCGUGACAACAACAUUGAUGUGUGAUAUAAGACGUCAGUUAAUAUCUAAGGUCAACCAUGACUCUGUGGUGAGGGACACUAUUGAGCUUCCACCAGCUUUUCUCUUCACUGAGCUUACAGCGCAGUUUAAUUGUGAUAAGUCAAAAAGAGAAUCAAGUUUACUCUACCAUGAUGUCUGACUUUUUGGCUGCGACUGACUUACAGUAUGCAGCAGCAUACCAGAAACACUUGAUUGUAAUUUAAAUUCUCCACACUGUCAGACUAUUGUGAAACAAAGUAAAAAAGUUAGAUGAGCACAAAUACAUUUCUGCUGCUGUAAUUAAAUAUUUUUUUCAUAUUUCAUUCAAUGAUAAAAACAUGUCUAUAGCCUUGAUUGCAUUAUUUCAUUUCUAAACAGUAUAGGCAAUAGCAUACGCUGUAUUCAAUUUACUGAUAUGUCACUUAUAACAAUAGUGUUAUUGAAUUUUGUUAUCAUGGGUAUUCAGUGCAAAUGAGCUGUCUUUGAUUAAACAUGAGCAGUAAGUGUAACCAUAAAUCUUAAAUGUAGAGGCAACCACUUUGGUGAUAUGGGCAAAUAUUUCACACCCUGACUGAAAUUGUCACUUUUACAUCUUCACUGCCUUCGUUUCCUCAUAUGUUGGUAUGUGACCACAUGCGGCAUUACACGAACUGUCUGUACCCAGUCUACUUCCUGGAGCACAUACCAAGAAUUCAAAAUCUUGAUUCCAUAGAUAAACUCCCUGGUUUUUUAAAACUGGCUAGAUUCAGUAAAAUAAGCUGACAAAGUGUGAGUCCUUACAAAAGCCAACAGUAAAGACUUUAGAUGUGUCCAGAACAACUCAUUUCAUUUGGUGGUAAAGAAAGGACUUUUAACUAGUUAUUUUGUUCUUACUUUUUAAUGAUGUCUUUAAUAAGAGAGCAUGCUGUUAAGACCAUACUCUUUGUGCAUUUGCUGUUUUAUUAUAUUUUCUUUGUAUUUAACUGCUUGGGACCCAUUGUAGUGUUUUUGUUUUCUCCAUGCCAAUGAUCAAAUUUUGAUGCAUAUCUAAUAAAGAACUAACAUAUUGCAAUUCUCAGUGGAAGCCAAAGUGACUGUCAUUCUGUUGUUAGAGGUAAUCUGCAAAUCCUGCAGGACAGAUAAGCAGAAAAUGUUUGAGGGUAAACAAGCACAGAAUCAUUAUAGAUGCUACAGUUCUCAAAAGCAGUUGUGUGUGUUAGAUUUCUUCUUAAAUUUCCACAUUGUGCAAUUUAUUCCAUGCCUACUGUGCCUGUGUGCAUUUAAAUCAGCCCCUGAGCUCAAUCCCAGAAUGAGUACCUGCCACCUGGAGUCUUAUCUGGCACCUGAUCAUGUGGCACCGAUCAGCAAUGUAUGUUUACAAACUGAUCAUGAUGACUGGUCAUGAAUGAAAAGCAUGAACUUGUGAGUAUACUGAACCACCCGAAACUAAAAUGUGUGCACACACCUUUGCAGAUCCUGUUUAGCUUCAUUUCAAAAUUCCUCUCCUGUGAAUGCUUCACACAGCACAAAGAUAAGCCCGAAUGCUUGAAUUUAUGGACUUUACUAUUUUUCGUUAAUAGGUGCUUGUGCUUGUUUAGUUGCUUUUCUUUAUGGAAUAACUCUUCACUGGUCUAUUUGGUUCACAAUUACUGUAUUUUUUUAAAUAUAUAGGCCAGAGGUAACGAACUCUGCUUACCUGAAUAAGGUGUGUUCAGCCAAUCAGAAGCCAGCAGGACAGGGAUAGUUGGAAAGCAAGCAGUGUAGUGGUCCUCAGGUCCAGAGUUCACCACCUCUGAUAAAGGCAGAGGACACUAGUGCCUCACUGUGCCAUUUACCUGCUGUUGUUUGGUCCAUAGAGUUUG